AAUUCUGAUAAGCCAUCGAUGGAAACCUUAGAAAUAUCACCAGUGCCGUUUUAGAAGGUGUGGACUGAGUAUUUUUUCUGUAGAACAAAUGAAUGCUUAUUGGUUGAGGAGUGGUUGGGGCUCAUGGUGAAUGUUUAAGAUCCGGUAGGGCAGAUAUUCAAACUAGGGGAGACUUCCUGUCAGUGUGAUGUUAAAUUUGCUGAGAAGCUAAGGAGUCCUGUGAGUCAAAGUGAGAGAAGCAGUUGAACAGACUUGUAGAACACAAGAGGAAAGAGGAAGGGAGAAGAUGCUGCUUGGGGUGGGGGGGGGGGGGUGACUAUGAAGAGUAUGAAUUAGGCUGGGUUUGGGAUAUGCAGGGUUCAAAAUGGCAAACAUGACCAAGACCAGAACGAGGCACACAGGUGUCCCCAGCUAAGUAUGCACGUUAUACUCGUUAACAUGAAAAGUUUUUAUCUCUACGUCCCCCUGUGCUUGGGAAACUGCGGCGAAUCGGCAUUCUUGUUGGCACACGUUGUCUGUUCGGGAUGACAUACGUUUGCUGUGGUUAAAGUUCUUCGUAGGCUUGCUUCCCAUGCUCAAGGUUUUUCAAUGCCUUGUGUGUUAUGUCCAUCACUUUCCCUACAAUACGUGUGGAACAGCUCCAGCAGUUCGCCAAUUGGUAAGUAAACAUUUCCUAGAAGUUUCUUAUUUAUAUAUUUUACUCAAAAAUGUAUAGGAGUUUGUUAUUUCUCUUGAAAGGCUUUUCGUUAUUCCUUGCAGCGUCAAAGGAGGAUGCAUUUAUGGUAUUUUAUCAUAGCAUGGGUUCACCGUGUGCUACAGACAAACACGUACACUAACGAAGGGACGAUAUGUUAAAUAAUUCUGCAGUUGGCUUUUAAAAUGGUUGACAUCGUAAGAAAUACUUGAAAGUUUUUUGUAAUAUUUUUGUGAUGGUUGAGAAAAUACGUUGGAUUUUUUAAAAGGGUGAUGUUAGGGACUUUUCAAAUUUAAGAUACUGCAAUAUAAGCAUUUACUAACAAAAGUGGUUAUUCAGCAUAUUUUAAACCAAAAGGUGAUGAAAAGUGCUUGAACGUAUAAAGAAGUUGAGGCAGGAAGAGAAUUGUGUGGUGAGGCAGUUCCGAAAAGAAGAAAGAGUGGAGAAAAAGAGGGACAGUAUCCAGGAAAGUAUGUUGGCGUAAAAAAGUGUGGCUGAUAAAGAGAAAGGUUUGGUGAAAUGGGCCUAAGGCAAGGCAAGUGGCAGGGAUCCUACCAAAGAAUAAACAGAAGCCAAGGCAGUUCAACAAAAUAUGUAGGAAAAAAGACAUAUGGAGACCGAUUGAACAAUGGAUGUAGGAUAAAAACAGGAACCAAACAGGGAUUUAUUAGCGAGUGUAUGAGAAUGAGACACACUCAGUAGACGGAUGGUUAAUAAAAGAUAAAACUGGGGGGGAGGGGGUCCAAGCAGAUGGGUGGAAAAGCGAAAUUUACCUUCAGCUGGGGAAGGUCAUGUGCAGAAUGGCAUCCUGAAACAAGCUUUGGCACUAUAACUGUAUCGGAUGGCACGAGGAAGAAUAGAGGUGAUAGAAGCUAAGUAAAGAGAAUGUCGUGUGGAUGAGAGCACAUUUCAGAGUAACUAGACUAAAUAGAACAUAAAACUAGAGUAAACGUAGGGAGACCCAGAAACCCGAGCGCGGUGAAGUAGCACACAAGUCAAGGAAGCGGAUGUAGGACUAAAGACUCGCUAAAGGUAGUGAAGAGCAUGAGGGCAGGAUGAAAUAGGUUAGGAGGCAGCUACAUGCAUUAGAGCGGAGUAUUGGCAAAAGGCAAAUGGGAGAAGAUAGACUGAGCUGCACGUUUAAUCCAGUUCCAAACACGGGAGGGGAAAGAGGUUAAGAAGCGGAUAAAGAGCGACUCCGUGGACGGGGGCGAGGGAAGGGUGUUGUGGAAGGGCACUGGAAAGUGCACAUCCAUACCUGGAAAGGGCAUCGAACUUCAUCAGAGAAAUGGUAGCGGGCAGGUAACGGAACAGCGUGGGAGUGCGGGAGGAGGCCCGGGGCCGAGGGACAGCGGGGCAGAGAAAGGCACGCACACAGAGGGGUUAAGCAGACAUAGGGUUAUGGGACUGAAAGAAUUCCGUAUUUGCUUUUUCUCAGGGACAAAACUGCCCCCAGUAAUAAUGGAAAUAAAAGAACAAAGAAGAAAUUGCAUGGCUUACACUACACACAGAGACCAUGAAAAAACUAGAGAACAGGAAAACCAGUGCCUGACAGGGAAAAUGGCAAAAGAGUGACAAAAUUAAGGUGGUUGGACAGAGAAUCUUGCAAAACCAGUCACAGCAUGUAAAUUUAAAAGAUAUGAAGGAUUCAUGAGUGAAGAGAAGAUAUUGAUGGCAAGGAGAGGGAAAUCAGGCUAAGAAGGAGGAGGUUAAGAGUGUAUAUAACUUCUUGUAGCCGAGUUCAAGGGAGGCUCCAUUUUCAACAAGAUCUAGAGGAAGAACCGAAGAGAGUCUGGCAGAGAGAGCAGAGCAGAGGAGAGAGAGAUGAGGGGGAAAGGCCAGCGCAUCGGCUGCAAAAUGUAUGUACUAAUGAGUGGAUUUCCAAAGUUCGACCCGAGAAAGGAAAUAGUAAGCACUUUGAAAACAAGUAAAAUUAAACAUUGGAAUGAAUGAGCCAUGGGUUAGGGUAUUAAGUAAAAAGAAAUAAAAGUCACAGUCAAUAAUGAUCCUUGGCCAAGAGGAGGACAAACCUAAGAAAUAAGAAGGGUUAACUAUCAGUAGACUGAGUGCGGGGCACGUCAGGUGUCCAAGGGAAUGCCAUGGAUCCCAGAGCAGAGAGCCAGGCAAGUGUCACAAUUUGAAGGCACUGCUGGGAUUUGAGAAAGAAGGGUCAGUGGCAACUGAUUUAGAAGGUGACAGGCGGUGCCCGGGGAGUGCGGCCCGGGGAGUGAGCUGGGCUUUCCACCACAGUGGUUCUUCCCGAGGGUGGGGGGGUGGUUUUCACCCGAGGGGGGCUGUGGGCACGGCCCCCAAGGCAGGCCUAUCAAAACAUCUGAGGGGGAGCAGUGCUCUGCUCCAACAAACACAAAACCAAAAAAACACAAAAAGAAACCCCAAAACCACGGCCCGAUGAUGAUGCUGAUAGGCGGUCUUGGGGGUCACGCGUCCUCGGGUGAGAAUCGCUGGGUGGAAGGGGCAGAGUGGAGGGCGGGCGGAGAGGUGAAGCUUGAGCAGAUGAGCCCCUGGGCCGGGGGUGACGUGGGGACAUCAGAGUCAGGACUGUCAGACACGGGGCAAAGGACGUGGGACCAGGAAGACAGCAAGCAGAUGGAUGUAGCCGAGAAGGCACCUGGCACACUGGGGACUGGGUGCGGAUUCACGGUCAGCGUGUAGGGAGUGGCGUGCCAAAGUGGUGUUCCCAGAGCUAGGGACGCUUCAGGACUCGGGCCGAGAGAGAGGAGAAUGGCGAUCGAAAGGAAGCUGUGUGAGCACCGUGAGCACAGAGCACGGGGCGGGCUGUCCACGCAGAAGGAAGGGGCGGGCGGGACAGGAGACCACAGGGCUGAU